AUGAACGCUGGCGGCGUGCCUAAUACAUGCACGUCGAGCGAACAGACGAGGAGCUUGCUCCUCUGACGUUAGCGGCGGACGGGUGAGUAACACGUGGAUAACCUACCUAUAAGACUGGGAUAACUUCGGGAAACCGGAGCUAAUACCGGAUAAUAUAUUGAACCGCAUGGUUCAAUAGUGAAAGACGGUUUUGCUGUCACUUAUAGAUGGAUCCGCGCCGCAUUAGCUAGUUGGUAAGGUAACGGCUUACCAAGGCAACGAUGCGUAGCCGACCUGAGAGGGUGAUCGGCCACACUGGAACUGAGACACGGUCCAGACUCCUACGGGAGGCAGCAGUAGGGAAUCUUCCGCAAUGGGCGAAAGCCCGACGGAGCAACGCCGCGUGAGUGAUGAAGGUCUUCGGAUCGUAAAACUCUGUUAUUAGGGAAGAACAAAUGUGUAAGUAACUAUGCACGUCUUGACGGUACCUAAUCAGAAAGCCACGGCUAACUACGUG
rnacentral:rRNA from 1 species